CGAGUCCCACCGGGUGUGC
rnacentral:siRNA from 1 species